ACACCCGCGAUCGUGCCGCCGCCGGGGUGGUGGUCGGGGAGUUUCUCCGUGGCCGCCGCCCCCGAAAGCGGCCGCGCCGGCUGCUGUGUCAGCCCCAGAAGCAGCUCAUCCUGCAUGGUCUGCUGAUGCGCCAGGAACGGGGAGGAAGAGGAAGCGGCGGCGGCCGGGCUGCCCGCGCCGCCGCCGAGGGGGACGGAGAAGGGGGAGGCGGCCUCUAAGAAGCCGGUGACAGGCAACGGUGGUGGCGACAGUGGGCCGAAGGGCGUGGCGGAGGGCAGCGGGUUGACGGACCCCACGGCGUAAGGACCAUACGCCUCGCCGCAGAACAGGGGCCCAGGACUGCUACUUCGGAGCGGGGCGGUCUGCAGCACCCCAAACCCGAAAUCCCUCAUUUAUCAGGCCGCCGGCAGCGGGAGGAGACGCUCCUCGUCCCCUGCCCCACCUAGGAAGCCGCCGGCGCUGGGGUUGCGCGGCCGUGGUGGAAGGAGGGGGAGUCAGUGAGAGAGGGACACCGUGACUGAGCCAGGGGGCACCGACUUCGGCCCCACCACCCCUCGCGGCGAUCGCCGCCGCCGCCGCCGUCGCAGUCGCCGUAGCCGCCCUGGCCGCUUAAGAACCCCGGAACGUGCGUCAGCGCCACCUCACAAUCGCGCCGCCCCCCGCGGUGCGUCCCGGCACGCGCGGGCGCGAGGCCACCGCGUCCCCGUCGCCCCUCCCCGCCCCUCAUUACUAUGCAGACGC
rnacentral:lncRNA from 1 species